AUUGAACGCUGGCGGCAUGCUUUACACAUGCAAGUCGAACGGUAACAGGCCGCAAGGUGCUGACGAGUGGCGCACGGGUGAGUAAUGCAUCGGAACGUGCCCAGUCGUGGGGGAUAACUACUCGAAAGAGUAGCUAAUACCGCAUACGAUCUAUGGAUGAAAGCGGGGGACCGUAAGGCCUCGCGCGAUUGGAGCGGCCGAUGUCAGAUUAGGUAGUUGGUGGGGUAAAGGCUCACCAAGCCAACGAUCUGUAGCUGGUCUGAGAGGACAACCAGCCACACUGGGACUGGGACACGGCCCAGACUCCUACGGGAGGAAGCAGUGGGGAAUGUUGGACAAUGGGCGCAAGCCUGAUCCAGCAAUGCCGCGUGCAGGAAGAAGGCCUUCGGGUUGUAAACUGCUUUUGUACGGAACGAAACGGCUCUGGUUAAUACCCGGGGCUAAUGACGGUACCGUAAGAAUAAGCACCGGCUAACUACGUG
rnacentral:rRNA from 1 species